CAUAGAUGUCCGUUUGUUUAGCUACUGUGCUUGUGCUUCGCGAUACAGACAGCUUUAUCUUUUUUAUUUAUUUUAAAAAAUACCAAAAUACGCGAGUAGUUGGGUACAAGCAAAAAUUCUGCUGCAGUAAGUUCUGUCAGACAUGGGCUUGGAGGGAGACUUGAACUGGAUUUCAGCACUGGAAGAGGAGCUCUCUGAUUUAGAUAUCAGGGAGAACACCUCCUGCACAACAACAGACCAAUCACACCACUGGACCUUAGACCUAUCAGCCAAUCCAUGGGAAGGCAGCACUACUU